rnacentral:rRNA from 1 species
GACGAACGCUGGCGGCAUGCCUAACAUAUGCAAGUCGAACGGACGAUGCCCUUCGGGGCAAAGUUAGUGGCGGACUGGUGAGUAACGCGUGAGCAACCUGCCUUUGAGAGGGGGACAACAGCUGGAAACGGCUGCUAAUACCGCAUGAAGCAGCGGGGUCGCAUGACCUUGCUGCCAAAGAUUUUAUCGCUCAAAGAUGGGCUCGCGUCCGAUUAGAUAGUUGGUGGGGUAACGGCCCGACCAAGUCGACGAUCGGUAGCCGGACUGAGAGGUCGAACGGCCACAUUGGGACUGAGAUACGGCCCAGACUCCUACGGGAGGCAGCAGUGGGGAAUAUUGCGCAAUGGAGGCAACUCUGACGCAGCAAUGCCGCGUGAAGGAAGAAGGCCUUCGGGUU